rnacentral:rRNA from 1 species
UGUAGUCAUAUGCUUGUCUCAAAGAUUAAGCCAUGCAUGUCUAAGUAUAAGCAACUAUACUGUGAAACUGCGAAUGGCUCAUUAAAUCAGUUAUCGUUUAUUUGAUAGUGCCCUUUACUACUUGGAUAACCGUGGUAAUUCUAGAGCUAAUACAUGCAUAAAGCCCCGACUUCUGGAGGGGUGUAUUUAUUAGAUAAAAAACCAAUGCCCUCCGGGGCUGCUUGGUGAUUCAUGAUAACGCAACGAAUCGCAUGGCCUUGCGCCGGCGAUGGUUCAUUCAAAUUUCUGCCCUAUCAACUUUCGAUUGUAGUUUAGUGGACCACAAUGGUUUCAACGGGUAACGGGGAAUG